GCAGGAACAGAGGUGGACUGGAAUGUCACACGACGGGGCAGCUGGAAGGGCACCACUGAGUUCAGUACUUCAAAAUUGCCGUGCUCUACCUCUCCCCAGUGCACAAAAACACUCUCCACACCAAGCUGCUGCUGCUGGGGGAUGGAGGGAUGGCGUCAGCGAUUCAAGACUGUUUUUCCUACCUGUUCAGCACUUCUUUCAGCGAUAUGAAGUUAAAUCCAGAUGUCGUCAUCAUCCACUUGUUCAAACAAGAGCCCAAGGAUCAUCCUAGAUUCCUUCUCACUUCCUCUCAAUCCAUCCCUGAAACAGCCAAACCACCAGUCUGGAGGCUGGAAAGUCCAAGGUCAAGGCAUCAGCAGAUUCAGUGCCUAGUGAGGGGUCUGUUCCUCAUUGAUGGUGUCUCCUUGCUGUGUCUUCACAUGAUGGAAGAAGCAAACAAGCUCCCUGAGGCCUCUUUCAUUUUUCUAUUUAAUUUUUUUCAUUUUUAUUUUUAAUUUUUUUAUUUUACUUUAAGUUCUGGGAACAUGCAGGUUUGUUACACAGGUAUACAUGUGCCAUGGUGGUUUGCUGCACCUAUCAACCCAUCAUCUAGGUUUUAAGCCUGGUAUGCAU
rnacentral:lncRNA from 1 species